GAUGAACGCUGGCGGCGUGCCUAAUACAUGCAAGUCGAGCGAAUGGAUUAAGAGCUUGCUCUUAUGAAGUUAGCGGCGGACGGGUGAGUAACACGUGGGUAACCUGCCCAUAAGACUGGGAUAACUCCGGGAAACCGGGGCUAAUACCGGAUAAUAUUUUGAACUGCAUGGUUCAAAAUUGAAAGGCGGCUUCGGCUGUCACUUAUGGAUGGACCCGCGUCGCAUUAGCUAGCUUGUGAGGUAACGGCUAAACAAGGCAACGAUGCGUAGCCGACCUGCGAGGCUGCGACGCCAGACGAGGAGUGUGCGACGGCCCGAACUCCCACUGGAGGCAACAGGCGGGCAGCUUCCGCGAUGUACGAAAGUCUGACGGAGGAUGGCCGCGUGAGUGACGAAGGCUUCCGGGUCGUAAAACUCUGUUGUUAGGGAAGCACAAGGGCUAGUUGAAUCGGCUGGCACCUUGACGGUACCUAACCAGAAAGCCACGGCUGACUACUUGCCAGCAGCCGCCGCGG
rnacentral:rRNA from 1 species